UUUCUGCGUUAGGGAUAGUAACGGCAUCCUUUUUCUGUCGCCGGUUUUUAGUCUGUCAGCCCAACAUAAUUCUACAAUUUAGUUGAGGCAGCAGAAAAAGAUAAAGUGGAUAGCCCGACCCUAA
rnacentral:sRNA from 1 species